CCUUCUCAGUGGCUCAGACGGAGCAGUGGACAGCAUAUCCGGGUGCACAUGGAGGAUAUGGCAGUCCAUCGGAGCCUGCAUAGGACACGUGGUACCACAACAGAGGAUGGAGGACAGAACUA